UAUAGAGAUAUGGUCUUGACCCUGCUCAAGCUCAUCCACACCGUUGUCACUAUAGCUGCUUCUGCGAGUCUCUUGUCAUCUUCUUCGCCGCCGGCUUGGUCACCGCAUUCGCUUCCCACAGCUGUGGAUGACGACAAGGAGGUGGUGGGUGACAUGGGCAAACAGUGCUUGGAGGUCCAUGUUGCUUGUCUGCGUGUCUGCAUAGAGAAUUUUCUGUUGUUUGAUUUGGUUUUACUGGAACAAGGAGUGGCACUGCCCAAGCUCCCCAUUACACAUUGUAUUGAGUUAAUUGUCAUUGAGGUGCGAACUUGCCAUUUAUUGUGAUUUUAUCAUUCCUCCUAAAUUCCGUUCCACAAGAUAGUUCUUGCUCAUAGAGAUGCUUUGCAUGGAUUGUUUAAAAAACAAAGAACGUGACAAGUUUGUGCUUUGAAAAUGGGAUACUAUGCUCAGUUCUAGCUUUAA